CCGAUGCUAAUCUGCCUCCCGCUCCCUUCCACUUGCUUUGUGUUUCACUAAAAAUAUCCCACGGAGGAAGUUUCUGCUGCGGGGUGGAUGCUCUCCUCCAGGGAGGGGCUUCCUGCACCACCCCACGUGAAAACACCCCCCGGUGAGCUCCUCGCCGGGACCCAAAGCCCCACCAGGCUGCUGGGGGGCUCCUGU